rnacentral:rRNA from 1 species
UACAGAGGUCCCAAGCGUUGUUCGGAUUCAUUGGGCGUAAAGGGUGCGUAGGCGGCGCGGUAAGUCGGGUGUGAAAUCUCGGAGCUUAACUCCGAAACUGCAUUCGAUACUGCCGUGCUUGAGGACUGGAGAGGAGACUGGAAUUUACGGUGAGCGGUGAAAUGCGUAGAUAUCGUAAGGAAGACCAGUGGCGAAGGCGGGUCUCUGGACAGUCCUGACGCUGAGGCACGAAGGUCAGG